rnacentral:rRNA from 1 species
UACGUAGGGGGCAAGCGUUGUCCGGAAUCAUUGGGCGUAAAGAGCGUGUAGGCGGUUCGGUAAGUCGGCUGUGAAAGUCCAGGGCUCAACCCUGGGAUGCCGGUCGAUACUGCCGGACUAGAGUUCGGAAGAGGCGAGUGGAAUUCCCGGUGUAGCGGUGAAAUGCGCAGAUAUCGGGAGGAACACCUAUGGCGAAGGCAGCUCACUAAGCAAAUAUUGACGCUGAGGCACGAAAGCGUGGGGAUCAAACAGG